GGACGAAAGUCUGACCGAGCAACGCCGCGUGAGUGAAGAAGGUUUUCGGAUCGUAAAGCUCUGUUGUAAGUCAAGAACGUGUGUGAGAGUGGAAAGUUCACACAGUGACGGUAGCUUACCAGAAAGGGACGGCUAACUACGUGCCAGCAGCCGCGGUAAUACGUAGGUCCCGAGCGUUGUCCGGAUUUAUUGGGCGUAAAGGGAGCGCAGGCGGUCAGGAAAGUCUGGAGUAAAAGGCUAUGGCUCAACCAUAGUGUGCUCUGGAAACUGUCUGACUUGAGUGCAGAAGGGGAGAGUGGAAUUCCAUGUGUAGCGGUGAAAUGCGUAGAUAUAUGGAGGAACACCAGUGGCGAAAGCGGCUCUCUGGUCUGUCACUGACGCUGAGGCUCGAAAGCGUGGGUAGCGAACAGGAUUAGAUACCCUGGUAGUCCACGCCGUAAACGAUGAGUGCUAGGUGUUAGGCCCUUUCCGGGGCUUAGUGCCGGAGCUAACGCAAUAAGCACUCCGCCUGGGGAGUACGACCGCAAGGUUGAAACUCAAAGGAAUUGACGGGGGCCCGCACAAGCGGUGGAGCAUGUGGUUUAAUU
rnacentral:rRNA from 1 species